UUAAUACUCCCUCCGUCACAUAUUAAGUGACUCAAAUUUAUCCAAAUAUGAAUGUAUCUAUGCCUAAAAAGCGUGUAGAUACAUGUAAUAGAAAGUCACUUAAUAUGGGACGGAGAGAGUAAUAC
rnacentral:pre_miRNA from 1 species